GUACUAGGAACUAUUGUCACAUCUUUAUCUCUGCUUUUCAAAUCAGAGUAAGAUGGAGUAACGGACUAGAUUUAACCUCCCACUUGAAAUAACGAAAAAUCAGAAACUAUCUCUCAAGAAAAUGGACAUCGAGCAAUUAAGGACAAUGACAUGAGAAAUAAGACACAGAUGAGUCCUAUGAUUGCCUGACUCCCUGCUUCAUAACAGAUUCCAGUCAGGGAGGGAACAUCUGGAUAGAGCCCAUGGACAUCCUUGAUGUGAGGUGGAAGUGGAACAUUGAAGAAAUAAAUGUACCUGGAGUUUACAGAGCAGAAGACCAGAGAGGAGAGUGCUGCACAGAAACUCUGAAAAGCUGCAGAGGCGUCCCCACCACGUGUUCAGUGCACUAAGCAGCAUGUGCUUGUAAGGAAACUACCUGCAGCCAGGCAACGAAUCACUCAAACAAAAGGAAAGAAAGUGCCCAGAACUCACCGUGCCAGGAACAGUGUCUUGUCCUGGUCCCAACAGCCAGAGUGGAAAACCUCAUGAUCCAUGGGCAUUUGUAAAAGAACCAAGAAGAGCCUUGCCUCAGUAGUGGGGAAAAUUAACCAUAUACUAAAUGCUACUCUGUUCCUGCAUAACAAAGGUAAAAGACACGAAAAGAUCAAACUAUAAACAUGCUAACCACAUGCCAGAACAAAGCUCAAGAAUGUUUUUAGAAAUCCCAAAAUUAUGCAGGACCUAAAAAGGUAAAAUUCAGAAUGUAUGGCAUUCAAAAACAAAUUAUCAGAAAUUCAAGAAGCAGGAAGAUACAGUCAAAACUGACUGUAAAAUUAUGUAACAUGGGAGUCAAUUUUCAUGAUCUUGGAUCAAAUAGUUUCUUAGAUAUGACACCAAAGCAUAUGCAAUAAAAGAAAAAAAUAGACAAAUUUAACUUAAAACCUUUACGCUUCAAGACACCAUCAAGAAGGUGAAAAGACAAGUCUGAGAAAAUAUUUCCUAAUCAUGUCAGAUAAAGGACUGAUACCAGACUUUAACUCUUACAACUCAAUACAAAGGUCAAUAAUCCAGUUGAAAUGGGGGCAAAAGAUCAGAAUAGACAUUUCACUGAAGAAGUUACAUAAAUGGCCAAUAAGCACAUGAAAGAAAGCUCAACAUUAGUCAUUAGAGAAAUGCAAAUCAAAACUGCAGGGUACCACCAUACACUAGGAUGGCUAUACUAAAAAAGACGGAAGUGUUGGCUAAUAUGUGAAGGAACUGGAAUCUUUACAUAUUGCCGGAGAGAAUGUAAAAUGUAUUCAGUGUGGGAAUGUUUGGCAGUUCCUUGGAGUGUUAAAACAGAUUGACCAUAUGUUAUGAACUGAACGCUUCCUGUCAAAAUUCAUAUGUGGAAGCCCUAAAGCCAGUGUGGCUGUUAUCUAGAGAUGGACCUCUAGGGAAAUAAUUAAACCAUCAUAAGGCUGGAGACUUGAUCUGCCUAAGUGCUAGAAUUACAGGCUUGAGCCACUGUGCCCAGCCUAAUUUUUACUUUUUUUUUAAGCAGAGACAAGUUUUCACCAUGUUGGCCAGGUUGGUCUUGAACUCCUGAUCUCAGGUGAUCCAUCCGCCUCGGCCUCCCAAAGUGCUGGGAUUAUAGGCGUGAGCCACUAUGCCUGGCCUCCUGUUUAAGCUACCUAGUAUGUGUUAUUUUCUUAGGGCAGCCCAAGCCAACUAUAUGACUCCAAAAUUCUACCCCCCACAAGAAAUAAAACCCAACAGAAAGAUACGUAAAGACUUGUACUCAAAUUUUCAUAGCAUUAUUAUUUAAAAAGGAGAAGCAACCCAGAUGUCCAUCAGCUGGUGAGUGGAUAAAUAAAAUGUUGUAUGCCUGUACAAUUGAAUAUUGGUUGGCAAUAAAAAGGUAUGAAAUACUGAUAUAUGCCACAGUAUAGAUGUACCUUGAAAAGAUAAUGCGAAAUAAAAGCCAGGCACAAAAUAGCACAUGGUGUAUAAUUUCUUUUUUUUCUUUUUGAGACAGAGUCUCGCUCUGUCGCCCACACUGGAGUGCAGUGGUGUGAUCUCACUGCAAGCUCUGCCUCCUGGGUUCACGCCAUUCUGCCUCCGCUGCCCUAAUAGCUGGGACUACAGGUGCCCGCCACCACACCUGGCUAAUUUUUUGUGUUUUUAGUAGAGACGGGGUUUCACCGUGUUAGCCAGGAUGGUCUCGAUCUCUCUGACCACAUGAUCCACCCGCCUUGGCCUCCCAAAGUGCUGGGAUUACAGGCGUGAGCCACUGUGCCUGGCCAAUAGCUGGGACUACAGGCGCCCGCCACCACACCUGGCUAAUUUUUUGUGUUUUUAGUAGAGACGGGGUUUCACCGUGUUAGCCAGGAUGGUCUCGAUCUCUCUGACCUCAUGAUCCACCUGCCUUGGCCUCCCAAAGUGCUGGGAUUACAGGCGCGAGCCACUGUGCCUGGCCAUAUGAGUUCUCUUAUAUGAAGUGUCCAGAAAACACAAAUCUAUAGAGACAAACCAUAGAUUAGUUGCGGCCUAAGGCCGGGAAUAGUAAUGGGGAGUGACUGGAAAUAGACAUAAAGUUUCUUUUUUGGGUAACAAAAAAUGUUCCAAAAUUAGAUAGUGGGGAUGAUUGUACAAUUCUGUUAUACUAACAGUCGUGGAAUUGUUCACCUAUAAUGGAUGAAUUUAUGGUGUAUCAAUUAUACUUCAAUAAAGCUUAAAAAA
rnacentral:lncRNA from 1 species